UUUUUGUUUCUCUAGAUGUAAAGCACCUGUGAUGUUGGUUUUGUCUCUGUUACCACCCAAUGGUUGACUGGUAGAAAAUGCCAUAUGGCAUUAAGUCCGCCAUUGUACAAUGUGCAAGAAGUGUAA